GGAGACGUGCCAGAGCGGCCGAAUGGGGCUCACUGCUAAUGAGUUGCCCUUCUAACGGAGGGCCGGAGGUUCAAAUCCUCUCGUCUCCGCCA
rnacentral:tRNA from 2 species